UGAAGUCCAAAACACUUGGAGGGAAGGCCCAAGUUUGCCCACGCCUGGUGUAAAUGGUUCUAUUGAGAGCUGGGCCUCUAGUGAGGCGGUUGGGCCUGUUUAUGACGGCUCCCCCGGUUGCCUAGCAACCAAGGGGUCUGGAUGCUCACCGUUGGCCUGCCUGGACGGCGCCUCCUUCGGACGGAGCCGAGAUGGUGCCGGCGCUGCGCUCUCGGGGGCCGGCUGCCUCCGCCCGAAAGGGGGGCGAUGGGCUAUGGCCCCAGCGCCCCCAGGCCCCCCUGACGCGCUUCCCCGAGUGAGGGAGCGAGGGAGCGAGCCACUCAGCCGCCAUGAGCCGGAACCAGCCUCGCGCCCGCCUCGAGCCCCGCGAUUUAGAGGCACACGAUAGUAAAUUCCCAGAGAUUGCAAACCUUCAAGAAUCCGAACAUAUCACUUCUCAGCCACUGAAAGAACAAAAAUUGCCAAUGCUAACAUCUGACCACAGAUUUCUGGAUACCAAAGUCUCAGGAAAAUCAUCCAGCAGUUGUCCCUUUGAGAAUGGUUCAGAAAAUGCAUUGAUAAAGUCGAAAAGGAUAAAACAAGAAUAUGCACCUGCAUAUGGCUUGAGAGAUUGUGGUGAAAAUGUUGCAAUGCCAAGUCUUCCUUGGAGAUCUGAGAGAUCUUCUGCAAAACGGAACCUCUCUCCUGUUGCUCAGAAAAGGCAAGGUGCUACUAAUUCAUUUUUAAACAGCUCUUCCAGUAAUGAUGAGCCCAGUUUGCCACCUUUGUAUUUGCUUCCACCUUCUUCAUCGAAGUAUUUUCUUGAAAGCUACUACAAAAGCAAGUUGAAAAAACACAACCGGUGUUCCAGUCUAAUUUCCUUUCCAGAAGUGUCCAAAUUAAAAUCUGGUAACUGCUUCAAGAAUCCUGUUAUAGGAGCUCCUCCGCAGUACCUCCAACGGCUCUCUGAACUAGCCGCUUUGGAACGUGAAACCAUUCAAGAGAAAAUUAGAAAAUUCAGGAAAACCAAGAAAGACUUGUAG
rnacentral:lncRNA from 1 species